rnacentral:rRNA from 1 species
UUCAGACGAUGCGUCAUGCAUAUCAAUAAGCGGAGGAAAAGAAACUAACAAGGAUUCCCCUAGUAACGGCGAGUGAAGCGGGAAGAGCUCAAAUUUGAAAUCUUAAAGGGUUUCCCUUUACGAAUUGUAGUUUAAAGAAGUGUUUUCUGUUGAGGUUUUGGUAAAAGUUCUUUGGAAUAGGACAUCAUAGAGGGUGAGAAUCCCGUAUUUGACCUUUACUUUCAACUUUGUGAUACACUUUACAAAGAGUCGGAUUGUUUGGGAAUGCAGUCCAAAAUGGGUGGUAAAUUUCAUCUAAAGCUAAAUAUUGGCGAGAGACCGAUAGCGAACAAGUACCGUGAGGGAAAGAUGAAAAGAACUUUGAAAAGAGAGUUAAACAGUACGUGAAAUUGUCAAAAGGGAUGCGUUUGACACCAGUGUUGUUUUUCUGAAAAUCAAUUAAAGAACUGUUUAUGCUAAGUUGUUUAGACUUUAUCAGCUAAUCUGUUUAGUUUUGAGCUUUUCUUUAAUGCACUUUUCAGUUAACAAGUCAACAUCAAUUUCUUUUGCUGUAAAAAAGCUUGAGGAAGGUGGCUUGAGAUUCGUCUUAAGUGUUUAUAGCCUCUUGCCUAUGCAGUCGGAGAGAUUGAGGUCUGCAGCGUAGAUCCUUCGGGGCUAAAUGCAUUUGUGCUAAGUUAUAGCAUUUCAUAGACAACUUGUUGACUAUGAUUUGUCUUGUAGCUUACUCGCUUAUGUUAUUUUACCUACGCUUAGGAUGUUGAAUCUGUGCGAGACUAC